AGGAUGGGUCUGCGGCCUAUCAGGUAGUAGUGGGUGUAAUGUACCUACUAGCCUACGACGGGUACGGGUUGUGAGAGCAAGAGCCCGGAGAUGGAUUCUGAGACAUGAAUCCAGGCCCUACGGGGCGCAGCAGGCGCGAAAACUUUACAAUGCGGGAAACCGUGAUAAGGGGACACCGAGUGCCAGCAUCCUAUGCUGGCUGUCCGGGUGUGUAAAAUACACCUGUUAGCAAGGGCCGGGCAAGACCGGUGCCAGCCGCCGCGGUAACACCGGCGGCCCGAGUGGUGAUCGUGAUUAUUGGGUCUAAAGGGUCCGUAGCCGGUUUGGUCAGUCCUCCGGGAAAUCUGACAGCUUAACUGUUAGGCUUUCGGAGGAUACUGCCAGACUUGGAACCGGGAGAGGUAAGAGGUACUACAGGGGUAGGAGUGAAAUCUUGUAAUCCCUGUGGGACCACCUGUGGCGAAGGCGUCUUACCAGAACGGGUUCGACGGUGAGGGACGAAAGCUGGGGGCACGAACCGGAUUAGAUACCCGGGUAGUCCCAGCCGUAAACGAUGCUCGCUAGGUGUCAGGCAUGGCGCGACCGUGUCUGGUGCCGCAGGGAAGCCGUGAAGCGAGCCACCUGGGAAGUACGGCCGCAAGGCUGAAACUUAA
rnacentral:rRNA from 1 species